GGUUGUUAGUAGAGUCUCAUAGCUUUGAUGGAGAGGAGGAGGAGGAGGACAACUCAACAGGUUGUCAGUAGAGUCUCAUAGCUUUGAUGGAGAGGAGGAGGAGGACAACUCAACAGGUUGUUAGUAGAGUCUCAUAGCUUUGAUGGAGAGGAGGAGGAGGACAACUCAACAGGUUGUCAGUAGAGUCUCAUAGCUUUGAUGGAGAGGAGGAGGAGGACAACUCAACAGGUUGUCAGUAGAGUCUCAUAGCUUUGAUGGAGAGGAGGAGGAGGAGGACAACUCAACAGGUUGUUAGUAGAGUCUCAUAGCUUUGAUGGAGAGGAGGAGGAGGAGGACAACUCAACAGGUUGUUAGUAGAGUCUCAUAGCUUUGAUGGAGAGGAGGAGGAGGACAACUCAACAGGUUGUCAGUAGAGUCUCAUAGCUUUGAUGAAGAGGAGGAGGAGGAGGACAACUCAACAGGUUGUUAGUAGAGUCUCAUAGCUUUGAUGGAGAGGAGGAGGAGGACAACUCAACAGGUUGUCAGUAGAGUCUCAUAGCUUUGAUGGAGAGGAGGAGGACAACUCAACAGGUUGUCAGUAGAGUCUCAUAGCUUUGAUGGAGAGGAGGAGGAGGAGGACAACUCAACAGGUUGUCAGUAGAGUCUCAUAGCUUUGAUGGAGAGGAGGAGGACAACUCAACAGGUUGUUAGUAGAGUCUCAUAGCUUUGAUGGAGAGGAGGAGGACAACUCAACAGGUUGUCAGUAGAGUCUCAUAGCUUUGAUGGAGAGGAGGAGGAGGACAACUCAACAGGUUGUCAGUAGAGUCUCAUAGCUUUGAUGGAGAGGAGGAGGAGGACAACUCAACAGGUUGUCAGUAGAGUCUCAUAGCUUUGAUGGAGAGGAGGAGGAGGACAACUCAACAGGUUGUCAGUAGAGUCUCAUAGCUUUGAUGGAGAGGAGGAGGAGGACAACUCAACAGGUUGUCAGUAGAGUCUCAUAGCUUUGAUGGAGAGGAGGAGGAGGACAACUCAACAGGUUGUCAGUAGAGUCUCAUAGCUUUGAUGGAGAGGAGGAGGAGGACAACUCAACAGGUUGUCAGUAGAGUCUCAUAGCUUUGAUGGAGAGGAGGAGGAGGACAACUCAACAGGUUGUCAGUAGAGUCUCAUAGCUUUGAUGGAGA